GAUGAACGCUAGCGGCAGGCCUAAUACAUGCAAGUCGAACGGGAUUGCGGUAGUAGCUUGCUACUACUGCAUGAGAGUGGCGCACGGGUGCGUAACGCGUGAGCAACCUACCCCUAUCAGGGGGAUAGCCCGGCGAAAGUCGGAUUAACACCGCAUAACAUCAACAGUUCGCAUGUUCAGUUGAUUAAAUAUUUAUAGGAUAUGGAUGGGCUCGCGUGACAUUAGCUAGUUGGUAGGGUAACGGCUUACCAAGGCAACGAUGUCUAGGGGCUCUGAGAGGGGAAUCCCCCACACUGGUACUGAGACACGGACCAGACUCCUACGGGAGGCAGCAGUAAGGAAUAUUGGCCAAUGGGCGCAAGCCUGAACCAGCCAUGCCGCGUGCAGGAGGACUGCCCUAUGGGUUGUAAACUGCUUUUAUCAGGGAAUAAACCCCUUUACGAGUAGAGGGUUGAAUGUACCUGAAGAAUAAGGAUCGGCUAACUCCGUG
rnacentral:rRNA from 1 species